CUGGGCAACAGAGUGAGAUUCCAUUUCAAAAAAAAAAAAAGAUUCAAUGAAUUCAAACAAGUAGAGUUUAGAUCAGAUCCCAGUACACAGCAGGUACUCAAAAAACAUGUUAACUGUCGUUAGUAACCAUGGAUGGAAACCCUUGGAGGUUUAGCUCAAUAUGACUUGUGUAAAUAAUGAAUUUCUCCUCCCUCUGGGCAUAGAGGUGCUGUCAUUGCCUGUGUCUUUUUUUUUCCUAGGGUCUGUUUACGCAACCAACCGUCGGUAUUUUUCCAUUGCCUCGUGAUGGAAAUUCAACAGGGGGCAGUCCCUGAGAGAACACCCAGCUACUACUGGGUGCUCAGAAAAUGUGGCUGCCUGGGUCUGUGCUGGGUGCAUGGGAGACGUCCCAGGUGCAGGCUACUGAGGCUGCUCUGCUGUGGUGACAACCCCCAAAUCUCAGUGGCUUCAAACAUCAAAGGAAGCACCUUACGGUUUCUCUUUGGCAUAUCCGAACAGCCAGCAUCACCACCAGCGUCACUACUCUGGUGCUUUGGGGCCCUUAUGAAGUAAAAAAAGACUGACCUGAACACAAGCACUGUGAUACCAGGACGGGCGAUCUGACGACCAAGUGACUGACCGGCGGGGAGCGUCUACGGCCUGGACGCAGGGGACACAGGGAUGGUUUGCACCCCAGACGGCACGGCAGAGACUCUCCAUCACACUGCUCAGAACAACGCACGACGGAAAACUUGGGAACUGUUUGAAGAAUUUUCCACUUAAUAUUGUCAGACCAUGGUUGACCGUGGAUAACUGAACCCAUGGACAGGGACACCGUGGGUAAGGGGGGACUACUGUGGACAGCUUUCCUGGGUGAUGGGCAGGCGUUUGUCUGGUAGAACACCAAGGCAAGGCUUUUCUGAGGACGAUCUACAAAUGCUCCCCAGAGCACUUCAACCUCCCGAACCAAGCUCUGUGGCUGUGCCAUUGCACAGUCUUCCUAAAGCAGAGAGGUGUGUGUUUUAUUUAAGGCACAAGACUCUGGAAGAAUGGGCUUUGUAGUUAUUUAUUUAUUUAUGAGACAGAGUCUUGCUCUGUC